rnacentral:rRNA from 1 species
AUUCCGGUUGAUCCUGCCGGAGGCCAUUGCUAUUGGGAUCCGAUUUAGCCAUGCUAGUCGCACGAGUUCAGACUCGUGGCGAAUAGCUCAGUAACACGUGGCCAAACUACCCUUCGGAACACAAUACCCUCGGGAAACUGAGGCUAAUAGUGUAUACCAUACCACCACUGGAAUGAGUGGUAUGCCAAACGCUCCGGCGCCGAAGGAUGUGGCUGCGGCCGAUUAGGUAGACGGUGGGGUAACGGCCCACCGUGCCAAUAAUCGGUAUGGGUCAUGAGAGUGAGAACCCAGAGACGGAAUCUGAGACAAGAUUCCGGGCCCUACGGGGCGCAGCAGGCGCGAAACCUUUACACUGCACGACAGUGCGAUAGGGGGAUCCCAAGUGCACAGGCAUAGCGCCUGUGCUUUUCGGUACCGUAAGGUGGUACCAGAAUAAGGGCUGGGCAAGACCGGUGCCAGCCGCCGCGGUAAUACCGGCAGCCCAAGUGAUGGCCGAUCUUAUCGGGCCUAAAGCGUCCGUAGCUACUUUCC